rnacentral:rRNA from 1 species
CACGUAGGCACCAAGCGUUGUCCGGAUUUAUUGGGCGUAAAGAGCUCGUAGGCGGUUCGAUAAGUCGGGUGUGAAACUUUGGGCUCAACCCAAAGCGUGCAUUCGAUACUGUUGUGACUAGAGUUCGGUAGGGGAGUGGGGAAUUCCUAGUGUAGCGGUGAAAUGCGCAGAUAUUAGGAGGAACACCGGUGGCGAAGGCGCCACUCUGGGCCAUAACUGACGCUGAGGAGCGAAAGCAUGGGGAGCGAACGAGGAUUGAUAA